rnacentral:lncRNA from 1 species
UUUGAUUCACGGUUCAGGGUGUUAGGAGGAGGUCGCAAUUAUUACCAUAUACAUCAAGAUGUGAGAACCUUCAUCCUCGUCCUCUCUCACGAAAUCUUCAAAGAAUGAGAAAGACGAAAUCCCUGAAUCCCCUUUUCACUCUUCCUCUUUAUUCAUCUCGGUUUGAAGCAUUGCGGGUUGCCCUUUCUUUCUAUUUUUUACCUUCUCUUAUCGAUUUCAGUGGUGGGCAGUUGUGGUUAAUGUAGGCUAUUGGUUGGUAUGGGAUCUGGUAUGUGUUUUGCGGGCUCGGUUGGUAUGGUGUCUGGUUGUGUUGAGGGCGGUGUGUAUAUGAACGGGGAUUGUUGUUUAUCUUGUUCGAGGUCUUUUGGGGUUCUCCGACUAUGUAGUGGGCUUCAGUUUCUUUUUCCUUCAUGUAGUUGGGCCUUUUGGGUUCUCCAGCUAUCUUCCCAGUUUUCAUGUUUUGCUCAAUUCUGUCUUCGACUCUAAUCAAUGAAUUGAAAUCACAUGUAUUAUUCCUAAUCAUCUUGUCGAAGAAAGGGUUAGGGAGAGUAUUGAUGAAGAUAGUGAUCUGCUCUUCUUCCUCCAGACGAGGUAAGACUUGUGAGGCGACUCCUCUCCAUCUGUGUGCAUAUUCCCUGAAUGAUUCACUUGUCGGUUUCGACAUGCUUUGAAGCUUGUUGCGGUCCAUCGCAGAGUCCUCAUUAAAUUUAUACUGCCUUAUGAAGGCAUUAGAAAGAUCCAGGAAGGUUUUGAUGUUCUUGCUCUCAAGGCGGAUAUACCAAGAGGUGGCGAUUCCCACUAGGCUGUCUUGAAAGCAAUGAAUCAGCAACUUAUUAUCAUUAUGGUAUGCAAACAUUUUCCGUGCAUACAUGUGAAGAUGGCUCUUCGGGCAUGUAGUCCCAUCAUACUUCUCGAAUUCUGGAACCUUGAAUUUAGGAGGAAGAAUGACAUCCGGGACUAAGCACAUUUCAAAAGCAUUCUUUAGAUCGGGACACUUAGACCCUUCCACAACUUUGAGCCUUUCAUUAAUGACGUCCCACAUUUCAUCUUCCUUCCUCUUCCCCUUACCAUUGCGUUGAGUGUCUUUACCAGCUUGAUGGCAUGUAGAGCUUUUGUCAUUAUGGGGAGGGUGGUAGUUAGGAUCGUCAUCAGAAUCAUGUUGGUAUGUGUGUUGUGAGCCUUCCUUGUUUGACGAGGUGUGUCCAUGUGGCGCACCCUGAUGUUUCGAGGCAGACUCUUGGUCGGGCCCUUUUUCAUUGGCAUUGUGCGUGGAUUGGGCUCGCUUAUCUGAUGCAGAAGAAUUCCUGGAUUCCAUUUCUUGUUGCAUGGCUACCAUCAUCCUCAUCAUUACUGUUAUUUGCUCCUUCAGCUCAAUCACCUCGGGAUUCCCUCCCAUAGAAGCUUCCUGGUCGGCCACGGUCUUUGUUUUUGAUCGGGUAUUAUAAGGAUGUUGGGGUGCAAUGAUUAGAGAACCUGUUUUAUAUUUGAAAAAUAAAAAGUUGAAAAAUAAAUGAUAGAAAUGAAAGCAAAAAGAUUUCUUUGUCUUCGAGGGGCUUGGUAUAGUAAGACAUCUUGACUCGUAGGCUUCUCUUACGUUGAUGACAAUACUCAGAGGAAACUCUAGGCUUCGGACCUUACUUGCAUCUAGGCUUAUUCUCUCAUUGUGGAUCACUAUCAUUAAACAUCUUGUCAUGUAUUUGGUAAUCUUGGGAGCGUAGCCUGCAAGACCGUUUACAUUUGAUACCAAUCGUUAGAAGAAACUCUAGGCUUCAGACCAAGAUUGUGUCUAAUUACAAGAUGUUUUUACUCUGUCACGAAUUUUUUACUUGCAUAUUAGAUAAGAUGAUGAGCCCUUAUGAUACUUGUAUAGAUAACAACUUGGAUAAACUCUGAGAAAAGGAGAAAUUUUUUAUUCAUAUUCAUAAGUAGGACUACAAUUUUCCUUUAUUCAUUAUCUCUUUCUUUUUAUUUUUAACAAAGAAGAAGAAAAACAUAAAAUGCUCAAUAUUCUUUACAUGCAGUAGUUCUCCACCUUCUGAGUUUCCAAGCCAACUUAUCACAUGCUUCAUAGAAGGUUCUCAUGGAAGGGCGUAGGCUUGUUUCAGGGUACAUUUCCACCUCUUGGUGGGCAUCAUCAAAGGUUCUCAACCAAUUGUCCGCAAACUCCCCAAGACCCUCGAUGAUUUGCCUACAUCUUCCUUCCCACUUCUCCUUGUCCCAUUUGCACUCCUGAAGCAUGUUCUCCCAGUUGUGUGACCAUUCAUGAUGUUUGGCAUUCAACCCAUUGUAGGCUUCCUCGAGGUCCUUCAUUCGUCCAGAAAGAUGGGUCUUAUCGCGGUUCGCCUCAGCCAAUGCCUGGAAAUGAGCAUCCAACGCAACAUUCAAUUGAUCUUCUCUUUUCCGGGCUCGCAUUAAGGCUUCCUGAUAUUCUUUUAAGAUAGCCCCUGUUUGGCCCUCAUCCUUUUGGUUAGCUUGCAGAUUCUCUAUUUUUGCUUUCAGAGUGUGGACAUCCCUUUGGGCAGUAUGUAGGGCUCGCCCUCGGGCCUUUAGUUGAUCAGCUAUGUCGGCUAUCUGCUCAUCUUUUUCCCUCUCCGACCUGAUCAGUUCAUUUAUUUUUUCGUCUUUUUCUUUACCAGCUCGUCUUCAAACUGACUUCCUCCUUUUUCUGUGCAGCUAUGGUUUUGUUAAGCCUUUCCACCGUCAGUUUAUAUUUCUCAAUCUCAUCUCAAGCUUCCCCCAACUUGGCUUCUAGAAGCUUGUUCUAACUAAUGAGUAGUAGUUCAUUCUGGGAUGGCCCAACUGGUUCUUUCGGUGCUUCGGAUGGUGGUAGUAUAACAUAUUUCAUUAUUUCAUUCCUCCAUCCUUUAUACUCUUCAGUGUAAUAGGCUUGGUGUUCUCCUAGUUCAUUCUUCCCACAGAGAUGGAUAUUUCACAGAGCAUUCCUCACAGAAAUGAGAACUUCUCUGGUAGUCCCCUCGUCCUUAUACUAUACUGUAAUUCCUCGCAACUUUUCUUGAGGUUUGGGAUUCAUACCCCAUUUCAGUUAUCCAAGUACCAAGGCUGGCGUGAAAGAGAUGCAUCCCCGAGGGCCCAUCAACAUCAUGUUAGGAUAGUCUCCAAAUGAGUACAUUACUGCCUGGUGUUUGUCAUAUAAGGAACACUUUGUUUCAAAAUUCCUAGGGGUUACCUCUUUGAACAACUUCUUCCAAUCCACCAGCUGCAUAGGUUUGAUUGCAAUAUUUCUGAACCGACACAGAGGGUACCUGUUCCAAUCCGGAUAUUGGUGGUGCACCAACCGAGUAGUCAUCCAUACAUAGAGUAAUUGUACGCAAAACCGGACUUUGUGGUAGCCUUUUUCAUGACACCUUUGGAAUGAUAGGAGAGUUUCUGCAACUACUGCUGGUACUGGGUUAACUCUGAACCUCCUGACUUUGGCGAAGACACCCAUUGCUGCUUGGUCUACCAUAUCAUAUACUAAAGGAAAUAGGACCAUAUCAUAUACUGCUAGAGCAAAAGCGGGUUUGAAUAGCUCCCAAUUUCCUUGUUCGACCAUUUUGGCAACAUGUUUCUUCAAAAAAGUAGUCUUUAGCCCAUACACUUCUCCCUGUUUGAUUAUCUGGUUUGGACCGGGAUGCACCCCGAUCAGCCUCUCGAUAUAUUCUUCUGUGACACUCUGAGUACCGCUAUACUGAUACAACUUUAACCUAUUUGAUAGCUCGAUAUCUGUGAUGGAGGAACCGAUGUCGAGGAGGACCUCAUACUCCUCCACAGUUGGGGAUGCAUCAAUAUUUGGGAAUUCGAAGACGUGUAGAGUAGUGUUCCAGUAUUGGAUCAUAUCCUUCAUGGCCUUUAAUGUUUCUAUAUCAACCGUGAUGAGAAGUAGGUCGGACAAUCUUCCAUACUCUCUUGUCAACUGAUCCUGAACCUCUUGAGGGAUCUUAGGGACCAUAUCUGCUAGAAAACUCACAUCCAUAACUUGUAGCUCUACCCUUACUCUUUUCUUUACCGACAGAGUGCUGAUAGAACCCACAACUUGAGAAUCGGUUUCCAUGUCUUACUAUACCAGUUUCUCUUUGACAAAGUAAUCUGCAAAAGGCGUGACAAUCGUAAAGGUGUUAAAUAAAUGAGAUAAAGAAUGCAUGGAUGAAUGCAUGAAUGAAUGAUGUGCAUGAUGUAUACCCCCUAGGAUGCUGGUCCUUAUAUGGGGGCAGUAAAAUAUUGAUUUUAUUAUAUUAUCUUUUCAUAACAUGGUGAUAUAAACUUGUCCCUAGGGCCUUGAGCCCAUUAAUGGGACUAAUUGCAGCAUGGGAUUAAAUGAAAUAACCCCGAUUAGUCUGAUAUAACAUAAAUUACGUCUUUAGGGUGUUUGCACCCAUCGACGAGUGUGUAUGAAAUGCAUCCCGUAGGGCAUCGGGCCCUCUAGUAGGGAUGUUGAAGGAACUGGCCAUUUACGGCUUACGCCCCACUUUUAUGAUUGUAAAUAGUAAAGGAUAGAAAUUGUUUGCUUCUUGUGUCCUAAAUAAGGUACGUCUUACAAGGAAUGUUUAGAGGUUACAUCCUGGGGUGAGGAUACUAGAUUUUGUCUAGAGUGGACUUGGUAAAGCUCUAGACUUCUAGGUCACCAGAUCGCAUCCAAAGAUGUGAGAACCUUCAUCCUCGUCCUCUCUCACGAAAUCUUCAAAGAAUGAGAAAGACGAAAUCCCUGAAUCCCCUUUUUCACUCUUCCUCUCUAUUCGUCUCGGUUUGAAGCAUUGCGGGUCGCCCUCUUUCUAUUUUUUACCUUCUCUUCUCGAUUUCAGUGGUGGUAGCGAUGAUUGAGAAUCAUCGGUGGCUUAUGAAAAAAAG